rnacentral:misc_RNA from 1 species
GCUUUAGCAUUCAAUCACCCAUCACUCUUAUAUUGGUGGACCAAGACCAACUAUCUUGCUUGCUACUUGGACCCCUUCUUGUACUCUCUCUUUCUAACUCACUCUCUUCUUGCAGACAUUUUCAAUCCACAUCUAUUUUUCACCUCUUCCAAUAUAUAUAUAAUACCUAAAUUUUUCUUUUAUUAUUUUUGGUAAGUAAUCUUCAUGAUUCAUGAUAGUGAUAAUUCAGUCAUUUUCAAUUGUGGAUAUCUGUGUGCCUCUAUCACCAUCCAAGCCUUCAUCCAAUAUGAGGUAUACUCCCUCAAUUAAUUUCAUUUAGCUCAGCUAGACUCCAGUACUGAUUCCCAAAUUAUAAUGGUUAAUGAUAAUAACCAUCUAUUAAUUUGGAAAGUAAUGGGGAGUUUUACCCAUUGACUUUGUCUACAAUUGGGUUUUGUUGGCUAUUAUCUACAAGAUUGUUUCUUAGAAUAAGUUAAACUAAUGUCUUUCACAAAAAGUGUUUUCAUCAAAGAGGGACAGUGAUUUGACAUUCAAUUGAAAAUGGUUAUGGUAAAUAUCAUUUAAAAAAAAAAUAAAAAAUCACAUAUUGGUUUUGAGAAUUUUCCUGUCUUUGCUAUCCAAGUGAAUUUCUUGUUUCUUUGUAGAUUUUGGUUUGGUGCUCUUGAGUUUUCAUGAUCUCUGUCUGGUUUCUGAUAAAAUCUUUAUAUUUUGCUCUUCAAGUCUUACAGAUUGUAUUAUUCUUUUAUCAUGCAGUUCCAGUUUGUUACUUGCACAAGAACUUAAUUAUUGAUUUACUAAGUGUAACCAUUUUGGGUUUCUAUCAUUAGUUGCAGUUGCUUUCAUAGCUUAUUAUCUAAUCUUAUAUAGUCCUCACUUCAGACCAAAAAUUAAGUAAACUUUUACCUGCAAGAAUCUAAAGCCAUUUGAGACAGCUUCUGUUCUUCAAUCAAAAUUCAACAGUUUACAUAUGUAUAUGCUCCUAAGAUAUUAUCUCUCUCUCUCUCUCCCCCCACAACACACCACCCCUCCCCCCUUAAAAGCAUUUUGAUGGCUAAUUGACAACAAUAUUUCAAGUCAUCUUAAGUUGGAGAUCUAUUAAGCAGUAUUUAGCUGGAUGGCAUAUGCUAAGUUUUCUUGAAUAUAUUAUUAAUAAAAACAAAAUAGCUUGCUUAUAAAAAAAAUCAUGUCUAGAAAACUAAGGAUAAUAACUAUAACAUAUACUUUCUUUAGCUUUAUAUCUUUAAAAAUGCCCCAUUGUUAAUUUAAUUAAUUAACACUAAGCACAUCUUUGUUUCCUUGAUCUAAAAUAUACUGAAAACUUGAAGCUUCUAAUUAAGACUGAAACUUAUCAUUUAAUUAGUAAGGCACAAGCAAUAUUACCUUCUUCAUGGGUUUUUGUUAUUGACUUGUUUGAUCAAAAUCCAAUAACAUGAUUCUUGAAUUUGCAUAUAUUAGCAAUUUAUUCGCUCCAUAGUCAUUGAUGGAUGAUCAUUUCUUUCUGUUUUAUAAAAAAAAAAAAUGAUGGAUGAUUUUUUUCUUGCUUUAUCUCUCAUCAUUAGCUACAUAAUUUGGCUAUUAUCUUUAUUUUUUUUAUUAUCUUUAUGUUCUUGCUAACUAUUAUUUCUCCCCUUGAAUGAUCUUUUGGCAAAAGGUUCUUUUUCUCCCUAUUAUCUUCCAUCUUCUAUUCUCUUUGUUUUAAUUUUUCUGUGCUGCUAUAGAUUUGCUAAUAAUUACUUCAAACAUAUUCCUAUAGUUUUUCCAUUUUCUUUCUGCAAAUGAAAUUCAGUCAUCAAGUGAGCAUCCAUCCUCUAAUCACUUAUAAUGCUUUUUCUUUGAAUCACAGUGGAUGAUAAAUAAGCAAGCACACACUCGCGCGCACACACAUUGCAACAGCUAAAUUUGAUUUUUGUUUAU